rnacentral:rRNA from 1 species
AUUGAACGCUGGCGGCAGGCCUAACACAUGCAAGUCGAACGGUAGCAGGAAGAAGCUUGCUUCCUUGCUGACGAGUGGCGGACGGGUGAGUAAUGUCUGGGAAACUGCCUGAUGGAGGGGGAUAACUACUGGAAACGGUAGCUAAUACCGCAUAACGUCGCAAGACCAAAGAGGGGGACCUUCGGGCCUCUUGCCAUCGGAUGUGCCCAGAUGGGAUUAGCUAGUAGGUGGGGUAACGGCUCACCUAGGCGACGAUCCCUAGCUGGUCUGAGAGGAUGACCAGCCACACUGGAACUGAGACACGGCCCAGACUCCUACGGGAGGCAGCAGUGGGGAAUAUUGCACAAUGGGCGCAAGCCUGAUGCAGCCAUGCCGCGUGUAUGAAGAAGGCCUUCGGGUUGUAAAGUACUUUCAGCGGGGAGGAAGGGAGUAAAGUUAAUACCUUUGCUCAUUGACGUUACCCGCAGAAGAAGCACCGGCUAACUCCGUG